rnacentral:rRNA from 1 species
UGCAGUCGACGGCAGCACGGGCUUCGGCCUGGUGGCGAGUGGCGAACGGGUGAGUAAUACAUCGGAACAUACCCAGCAGAGGGGGAUAACGUACCGAAAGGUAGGCUAAUACCGCAUAUGCUCUGAGGAGGAAAGCGGGGGACCCGAAAGGGCCUCGCGCUGUUGGAGUGGCCGAUGACCGAUUAGCUAGUUGGUAGGGUAAAAGCCUACCAAGGCGAUGAUCGGUAGCGGGUCUGAGAGGAUGAUCCGCCACACUGGGACUGAGACACGGCCCAGACUCCUACGGGAGGCAGCAGUGGGGAAUUUUGGACAAUGGGCGCAAGCCUGAUCCAGCCAUGCCGCGUGAGUGAAGAAGGCCUUCGGGUUGUAAAGCUCUUUUGUCCGGGAUGAAAACCUGCUUGUGAAUAAUGAGCGGGGUUGACAGUACUGGAAGAAUAAGCACCGGCUAACUACGUGCCAGCAGCCGCGGUAAUACGUAGGGUGCGAGCGUUAAUCGGAAUUACUGGGCGUAAAGGGUGCGCAGGCGGUAUCGUAAGUCAGAUGUGAAAUCCCCGGGCUCAACCUGGGAACUGCGUUUGAAACUGCGAUGCUAGAGUAUGUCAGAGGGGGGUGGAAUUCCACGUGUAGCAGUGAAAUGCGUAGAGAUGUGG